rnacentral:rRNA from 1 species
UUUGACGGACAACUAAUUGAUUUGUUUGACC